rnacentral:rRNA from 1 species
GACGAACGCUGGCGGCGUGCUUAACACAUGCAAGUCGAACGGAAAGGCCUCUUUCGGGGGGUACUCGAGUGGCGAACGGGUGAGUAACACGUGAGUAACCUGCCCUUGACUUUGGGAUAACUUCAGGAAACUGGGGCUAAUACCGGAUAGGAGCUCCUGCUGCAUGGUGGGGGUUGGAAAGUUUCGGCGGUUGGGGAUGGACUCGCGGCUUAUCAGCUUGUUGGUGGGGUAGUGGCUUACCAAGGCUUUGACGGGUAGCCGGCCUGAGAGGGUGACCGGCCACAUUGGGACUGAGAUACGGCCCAGACUCCUACGGGAGGCAGCAGUGGGGAAUAUUGCACAAUGGGUGGAAGCCUGAUGCAGCAACGCCGUGUGCGGGAUGACGGCCUUCGGGUUGUAAACCGCUUUCGCUCAUGACGAAGCUUUGUGACGGUAGUGGGUAAAGAAGCACCGGCUAACUACGUG